AGCUCGCCGAAAGGCGAAUUAAUACCGCAUGUGGCCAAGGAAGACAUCUUCCUGACGCCAAAGCCGGGGCAACCUGGCGCUUCUCGAGGGGCUCGCGGCCUAUCAGCUUGUUGGUGAGGUAACGGCUCACCAAGGCUAUGACGGGUAGAUGGUCUGAGAGGACGGCCAGCCACACUGGAACUGAGACACGGUCCAGACACCUACAGGUGGCAGCAGUCGAGAAUUUUUCACAAUGGGGGAAACCCUGAUGGAGCGACGCCGCGUGGAGGAUGAAGGUCUUCGGAUUGUAAACUCCUGUCAUUAGAGAACAAGGCACACGGUUUAACUGGCCGUGUGUUGAUAGUAUCUGAAGAGGAAGAGACGGCUAACUCUGUGCCAGCAGCCGCGGUAAUACAGAGGUCUCAAGCGUUGUUCGGAUUCAUUGGGCGUAAAGGGUGCGUAGGUGGCGAUGUAAGUCGGAUGUGAAAUCUCCAAGCUUAACUUGGAAACUGCAUUCGAUACUGCGUUGCUAGAGGACUGUAGAGGGCAUUGGAAUUCACGGUGUAGCAGUGAAAUGCGUAGAUAUCGUGAGGAAGACCAGUGGCGAAGGCGAAUGCCUGGGCAGUUCCUGACACUGAGGCACGAAGGCCAGGGGAGCAAACGGGAUUAGAUACCCCGGUAGUCCUGGCAGUAAACGGUGCACGUUUGGUGUGGGAGGAUUCGACCCCUUCCGUGCCGGAGCAAACGCGUUA
rnacentral:rRNA from 1 species